GUUGAACGCUGGCGGCAUGCCUAACACAUGCAAGUCGAGCGGAUGAACGGAGCGUUCUCCUGUAUUCAGCUACCGGCGGGUGAGUGAGUCCUAGGUAGCUGCCCUGUAUAUAGGACUAACGUCCGUUCACGGGCGCUAAUAUCGCAUACGUCCAUAUUUUGAAAGGGGUGGUUCUUCAGACCUCGCGCGUUUAGAUGUCCCUAGGACGUAUUAGCUAGUUGGUGAGGUAAAGGCGUACCAAGGCGACGAUCCGUAACUGAUCUGAGAGGAUGAUCAGUCACACUGGAACUGAGACACGGUCCAGACUCCUACGGGAGGCAGCAGUGGGGAAUAUUCGACAAUGGGCGAAAGCCUGAUCCAGCAACGCCGCGUGUGUGAAGAAGGUCUUCGGAUCGUAAAGCACUUUAAGUUGGGAAGAAGGGAAGUAAGUUAAUAUCUUGAUGUCUUGACGUUACCAACAGAAAAAGCCACGGCUAACUUCGUG
rnacentral:rRNA from 1 species